GAUGGUUUGAGUUUGAUACUGCUUACAUACUUGUACAAUGUAUGGAUAUACUUGCAUGUGUUGGCAUCUAUUAGUUAUAUAUAGAGAUAAGUGUUUAGUCAAGAAGGGAUUCGUUAUCCUAAGUAAAUAGGAAUAAAGUCCUAUGGUAUCUAAAUUGUUCUUGACAAAGAAAGUUUCUAGCCAGGACAGUUUGACUUAGUAAGAAAAGAGUUUCUAACGGUAAGUCUUAUUAAUCAAUAAUUAGAAUUAAGAUGAGGACAUAUAAUUCAAAGUAAUUAGAGUUUGACAUAUAACAUGUCUCUAGCUAGGAUUGAGGCUUUGUAACGAAGAGAUUUUAGUUAAUAGUAAGUAUGAUCAAGAUUCUUAAGAAUGUGACAAAUUUCAUUUAUCACUAAUUGUGUAGUCAUGGUAUGUUAUGUUAGGUGUUAACGACAAUUUAUGAAAACUAAUAAUGAAGAGGGAAUUUCACUCUACGUAUAAAAAGGGUCUAGUAAUAUUAAAUAGUUAAUAUCAUAUUCUCAUUGCUAAUUAGUUAUCAACCUAAG
rnacentral:misc_RNA from 1 species